rnacentral:rRNA from 1 species
AGUAAUGCUUGGGAAUCUGGCCUAUGGAGGGGGAUAACGACGGGAAACUGUCGCUAAUACCGCGUAUUAUCGGAAGAUGAAAGUGCGGGACUGAGAGACCGCAUGCCAUAGGAUGAGCCCAAGUGGGAUUAGGUAGUUGGUGGGGUAAAGGCCUACCAAGCCUGCGAUCUCUAGCUGGUCUGAGAGGAUGACCAGCCACACUGGAACUGAGACACGGUCCAG